AUUCCAUCCAAAUUAAAUUCCCAGUAGUAUUUCAUUGAAAAAAAACUGAACCAUUAUAUAUAUAUAUAUAUCGCUUUAUAUACCUUGGCUACACAAUGAGAUGAACACUGAGAGUAAUAGUACUCGGAUCAGAAUAGGUUUUUGAAAAAACAAUUAGUUCAAAAAGGGAGCCAUGAGUUAAAAGUUUGGGAAACACUGUUACACAAUAAAAUACAG